CGAGGCUUUCAAGGGAUCCACGGGGAUGCUGAGCUUUGUCUUUCCUAAACCUCAGCAUCCGUAUGGAUUCAUUGGAAGUCCCA
ensembl:miRNA aca-mir-5458 aca-mir-5458